UGAUUCGGCGGCGAAGUAUGGUUGGGUGGUCGUGAGGUCCGUCGUGAGGCGCGGGGUCUGCUAUUGCAAGUUGAAGUUUAAAGAUAUCGACAGUUGGCUAUUAAUUUUCAGUAAUUUGGUUGCGGAUCAUCGUAAGGGUACGGCCUUGGUAAAGCAAAAGGUGGAGGAGGCUCCGACGCGGUGAGGGCCGGCCGGGAGCCGCCCGCGGCCGCCCUUAGUCACCAUGCUCUCCCAGAUGUUCUCCCGACUGGUGAUCCUCGUCUUCGGCACGCUCUACCCCGCCUUCGCCUCGUACAAGGCCGUCAGGACCAAGAACAUCAAGGAGUACGUCAAAUGGAUGAUGUACUGGAUCGUGUUCGCCUUCUUCACGUGCCUGGAGACGGUGACAGACUUGUUCCUGGUGUGGUUUCCCUUCUACUAUGAAAUCAAGAUCCUGCUGGUCAUAUGGCUGCUCUCGCCGGUCACACGGGGGUCCUCGAUUCUCUACAAGAAGUUUGUGCAUCCCUGGCUGGAGCGGAAUGAGAAUGAGAUCGACCAGUACAUCGAGCGCGCCAGCAAGAAGAGCUACUCGACCGUCAUGACGCUGGGUGUGCGGGGAGUCAACAUGGCCACCCAGAUGAUCAUGCAGACGGCGAUCCGCGGCGGCGGCGGCAUCCUCGACCACCUGAGGCGCAGCUACAGCGUCAACGACGUGGCCGACCUGGCCGGCGGCCCGGACGCCGGCGACUUCAACUCUAACCGUGUGAAGCGGCUGCCGCAGAUCGUUGACGUGACGGAGGAGCUGGACUCUGACGCCGAGCCCGUCACCUUCCCGAUGGCCGGUCCGUCGGGCGGAGCUGCCGAGGCGGCCGCCGAACCCAAGCGCCGACCGCGCCGCGCCGCCACCAAGCCGGCGGUGCCGCGCGCGCGCGCCACGCGCAAACCGCGCUCGGCCGAGCGCGAGGAGAGUGACGAGGCGGACCGCCCGCCGCCGCCGGCGUGGGAGCAGGCGCAGUCGAUGGAGGACAUCAGCUCCGGGUACAACUCCGGCGAGCCGUUCUACGACGCCGUCACCCGGGAGGACGAUGACGCGGCGCUGGCCGGUCGGCGCUCCGGCGGCAGCCGCGCAGCGCGCGCCCGCCCGCCCCUGCACGGGCAGCGGGCCUCCACCCGAGUCAAGUCGUCAGCAACCACCGACGUCUCCGGGUACGCCACGCUGCCCCGGCGGCGCGCCUCCACGCGAAAACCCAUCCCCAAGUAUGACUGAGCCAGUGCGGGUAACGAGGGGCGGGGCUGGGUGGCCGGACGUGCAUUGGGUAAACAAAGGACGCCAGUCGGGUGGGGAAAGAUCAUGGUUAGUGAAAAUGAGUAAGAGGUGUGUUGAGGCCGGUGCUCCACUGGAUGAGUUUGGGGCUCGUGGACCUGCGGGCCAUCCACCAGUCACUGUGCUCUAGGGGACUUCCCUCGGGGACGCACCAGCCGGCUACCACAGGCCGGUGCACAGUAGCGAGUGCGGAUCGGCUGUCUUGGCGCCUGUCUGCACGGGAGUCGCGGCGGCCGCACAUUUACUCGAGAUUCCACGACGAUAUUCCGAACGGAGAGUGGUGUGGACGAUUUACGAGGGAUCUUUCGCCCCAGCGAGCUACCUUCGAUCUGCUUUUUACCGAAAAUUCGCCGCCCGAACUUCUGUUCCGUGGGAUUUUUUACCGAAACUAUGCACCGUUCUACGUUCUGCGUGUUGACCGUUUGGAGAGACUACUGUGAUCUCAUUUGGAACGUCGUCUGGGCUGUGCCGCCCGGCUGUCCCCCGUUCUCCGGUGAGAACGUGUGGCACAGACGGGCCGCACAGGGCCGCGUCGGGAGCAUGUCGCGUCGCCACGACCGACUCGGUUUGUCGUAGCUGAAACAUGCCGCGCGCCGCCGUUCAUUUUUUGCCACGCGUGACGGUUUGUGUGCAUGUUUUUUACGCAAACGAUAACGCUUACCCCGUGAAGUAUGUUUGCUCACCCCCACUUUUCCGUCCCGUCCUUUAGCCAAUAAAUUCCUGAUAUUUGCGACUAACGAGGCUUUGUGACCCGUGUGACCCGUGUGUGUGUGUGCUAGUGCUGGCUGGGACGUGUGUUAUUUUACCACCGGUCACGAGGAUACAAGACAUCCACUCGGGAUCGUACCCCCAGAGGGGCGCCGGCCGCCCACCACCGUGAUACCGUACAUGUCAACUAACAUAAUGUAUUUGUGAACAAUAAACCAUUAUCAUUUUGUGA
rnacentral:misc_RNA from 1 species